rnacentral:lncRNA from 1 species
UUCGUGCCAAAUCAGAAGAGGGUCAAGUAAAGAAGAAGCCGAGCUCCUUCAUCUUCAAAACUCGUUUGAGGGCUUCUCUUUACUCUAUUUGUUUAUAUUGUUACAUUUGCUUGUUUAAGAAGCUUUGAUUUGUUUUAACCUUUGUUUUAAUAUCUUUUAACUUGAUUCAAUUAAGGGAUUGAAUCAAGGGGUUAAGGUUUGUUGGUGAGCCAAAGGAAAAACCAACGGUGUUAGGUUGUGGUUGGUGAGCCUUUGAAAAAACCAACUGGGUUGAUUGUGAACCCGGAAAACAAUCGUUGUAAGGUUGUGGUUGGUGAGCCUGUGGGAAAACCAACUGGGUUUGAUUGUGAACCCGAAAAAACAAUCGGUUGGUUCUAGUCGGUGAGCCUAUGAAAACCGACCGAGUUCGUUGUUAUCUCGCAAAACAACAAGUUGGGUUGUGAGCUUGUAAAACAACCGGCUGUAAUCUGUAGGAUUAUAGUGAAAUUCCCAAGAGGUCUUGGGGAGUAGAUGUAGGUGCUGGGGUGCACCGAACCACUAUAUGUUUGUUGUGU